rnacentral:rRNA from 1 species
UACGGGGGGGGCAAGCGUUGUUCGGAAUUACUGGGCGUAAAGGGCUCGUAGGUGGCCAACUAAGUCAGACGUGAAAUCCCUCGGCUUAACCGGGGAACUGCGUCUGAUACUGGAUGGCUUGAGUUCGGGAGAGGGAUGCGGAAUUCCAGGUGUAGCGGUGAAAUGCGUAGAUAUCUGGAGGAACACCGGUGGCGAAGGCGGCAUCCUGGACCGGCAUUGACGCUGAGGAGCGAAAG